rnacentral:lncRNA from 1 species
AAGCAGCUGUGGCUUUAGUUACCACAGGAACAGUUGCCAAGAAAUAAGUUUCUUCACAGGAUUACAGCCACAGAUAUUGGACUGGAAAAAAUUGCUAUGAAGGAGAUUUCUGAAUUCUUGCUCCUGGUAUAUUUCCAUGAGGGCCUGAAUGGAGAAAUUGGCCUGAGGGUAUUGGAAGAUAAAAAGUCAUCAGCUAUCAAGAAACAUUCUUCCACUAUAACAUCAUCUUCAAUAAUCACUGCGAUGCUGCAUACCCUCUUUGGUAAAGCCAAUUUGGAUGAAAGGAACAUGUGACAGAAGGUCACAUGGGAGGCUGAGUCAAGAUUCUAAGGUCCCAAUU